rnacentral:rRNA from 1 species
UUGCUCCUACGGGAGGCAGCAGUGAGGAAUAUUGGUCAAUGGACGGAAGUCUGAACCAGCCAUGCCGCGUGCAGGAAGACGGCUCUAUGAGUUGUAAACUGCUUUUGUACAAGGGUAAACCUGAAUACGUGUAUUCAGCUGAAAGUACUGUACGAAUAAGGAUCGGCUAACUCCGUGCCAGCAGCCGCGGUAAUACGGAGGAUGCGAGCGUUAUCCGGAUUUAUUGGGUUUAAAGGGUGCGUAGGCGGAUCGUUAAGUCAGUGGUCAAAUUGAGGGGCUCAACCCCUUCCCGCCAUUGAAACUGG